GACGGGGGAUGCAAGUGUUAUCCGGAAUCACUGGGCGUAAAGCGUCUGUAGGUGGUCAAAUAAGUCAACUGUUAAAUCUUGAGGCUCAACCUCAAAAUCGCAGUCGAAACUAUUAGACUAGAGUAUAGUAGGGGUAAAGGGAAUUUCCAGUGGAGCGGUGAAAUGCGUAGAUAUUGGAAAGAACACCGAUGGCGAAGGCACUUUACUGGGCUAUUACUAACACUCAGAGACGAAAGCUAGGGUAGCAAAUGGG
rnacentral:rRNA from 1 species